UACGAGUGCCCCGAGCGUUAUCCGGAAUCAUUGGGCGUAAAGGGUGUGUAGGUGGUUGUAUUAGUCUUGUGUUAAAUUCUUCGGCUUAACCGGGGGCAUGCAUGGGAAACGGUACAACUAGAGGGUGCGAGAGGUGAAUAGAACUCAUGGUGUAGGGGUGAAAUCCGUUGAUAUCAUGGGGAAUACCAAAAGCGAAGGCAGUUCACUGGCGCAUUCCUGACACUGAGACACUAAAGCGUGGGUAGCGAAUGGG
rnacentral:rRNA from 1 species